rnacentral:rRNA from 1 species
AAAGGAAUAGACGGGGGCCCGCACAAGCGGUGGAGCAUGUGCUUUAAUUCGAUGCAACGCGAAGAACCUUACCUGGGUUUGACAUGGGGAUGAAAGAGUCCAGAGAUGGAUUCCCUUCCGCAAGGAACAUCCUACACAGGUGCUGCAUGGUUGUCGUCAGUUCGUGUCGUGAGAUGUUGGGUUAAGUCCCGCAACGAGCGCAACCCUCGCCCUUAGUUGCCAUCAGGUUAUGCUGGGAACUCUAAGGGGACCGCCUAGUUUAACUAGGAGGAAGGUGGGGAUGACGUCAAAUCAUCAUGGCCCUUACGUCCAGGGCUAGACACGUGCUACAAUGGUCGGUACAACGGGAUGCAAGACGGCGACGUCAAGCUAAUCCCUUAAAACCGAUCUCAGUACGGAUUGAAGUCUGCAAUUCGACUUCAUGAAGCUGGAAUCGCUAGUAAUCGCGGAUCAGCAUGCCGCGGUGAAUACGUUCCCGGGCCUUGUACACACCGCCCGU